AAAAAAGACCACUUCAAGGCUAAAUGUACACGUCAAAGACCCACCUCCAGGUACCUCAUAUAAACAGCAAGAGAGAGAUGGAGAGGUUCUUUUUUUAUUCUGGCAAUGCUAGAGUUCCACCUUCAUCUCCUAGCUCUGCCUCUGACUCUCUGAUGGACCCUGUCUGUGACAAACGGAGCCACUUCCUUGCAAGCAUACAGGUGCCAAAAGAUUCUCAACCACCCCAGCUUCCCUAUGCCUAAUUCUUACUGAGGCAAAUGGAAAUUCGAAAGGCUUACAAGCUGGAAUUUGCAUGCUACAGAUGUUGAAUGUUUUGGUGUUGGUUUUGUCUUUGAGCCUCCAGCUCGCAGCAGGCCCUGCUGGGGUCCCCUGUGGAGCAGGCAAGGAGGUUCCUCACAACAUCCCUCUGGCUGCCUGCUGCCCCUUCCCUUCCCAGACCUCUUCUGGUGUAGGAGAGGAAAGUAAGGGAACUCAGAGAACAGCAAGCACUCUUCAGAGGCACCAUUCCCUUAUGUGCAUUACCUGCAGGCUUCUGUUGCCGAAGCUUGGUUGCCAUUUUCAAUGCCAUUUUCAAUGACCAUACAAAACUCUCCCGUGCAUGAGAAGAGAUCUCUGAAAGUCCAGCCAGCUACAGCGAUCACGACUUGAAAAUCUUUUGAUAAAUACUAAUAUAUUUCUGCACACUGUUAAGCACAUCAGCAGCAGGGAAGAAAUGCAAGUAUACCUGUAGUUCUUGUGCUGUUUGUUACCUUUUUCUUUUUCCACUUCUCUCUUUUUUCUUAAUUAAUAUCAGUCAAAUCUGUUCCAUGCUUGGUUGUAGUUUAAACAUUGAGAUUUGCAGUGGUUUCCUACCACCGUUAGAUAAUAUUUUUCAUCUGAAAGCCACUGCUUUCAUUUAUGACUGUUGAAGUUGUGGCAACAUUUCUGUUAGUCUUGGGUUUUACAACGUUGUUCUAGUUAAAUGCAUGCAUGGGGUUGGAAUUAGGAGAACAUUGUUUCUUUAAUACAGAUAGAUAAAGAAAGCAGUGUAUUGUAUUUAUCAAAAGGAAAUGUCAGCAGAACUUUAUAGUCUGGUAAUUAGAUAACGCAGAUAAGUCUGCUGAGUUUGUGUGCUCACAACUGCCAUUCCAGAUAACACUUCCUGAAGAAAAUUGUAAGAAGAACUUAAACAACAUUACACGUUUUUCAUGGUUCCUUUCUUGAAGCUGAUAUGGAAAGUAAGAAAGAAAAUUAAGAUACAAGCUACAGCAAGCAUUAUAUGUUGUCGUUCUGCGUUUGUUUGGUUGUUUUCUUUUUUUGUUCUGAACAGCCCAGCUUUGAGCAGGAGCACUGAAGUAUCUGUCUUUCCAAAGACACCCCCAACCACAGCAGUGGCAGCUGUGCCAGACCAUCACCACCGUGGGCAAUGGAGAAUUCCACAGCCCCUUUGAUUCAGAGCAAGGUAAAACCAGGCUGAAGCAAAGGGCUUACAUUUUUCAGACAGGUGGCCUUUGUAAACACCCAUGUUUGCAUAUAUGGAAAACCUCGUCAAGGGAAAACUCUUAGUAUCUCGAAAAGGAAAAUACACACUAGCAAUAGGCAAAUUAUUUUGGAUAUAUUGCUCAGAUCCAAGUACUGAAGGCCUCGUUCUCCUCCGCGUAGUUUUGUAUUUCAAAUGCAGAUUAAGUAUUUUGACUCUAUGACUCUUGAAGCUUUCUGGAGAGGUUAUAAAUGGUAAAGCACUAGCCUUGUACUCUAGGAGCUUAUUUCUCAUAAUGCUUUGUGUCUUAUGCAAUCAGUUGUUCCUGAGAAUGCCAGUUUUCCUUUGUGCAGGUUACAUUAAAAGUACUUUCU
ensembl:lncRNA